GAUGAACGCUGGCGGCGUGCUUAACACAUGCAAGUCGAACGAGAAAUGGAGACGGAAACCUUCGGGCGGAAGGCUUCAUUUCGAGUGGCGGACGGGUGAGUAACGCGUGGGUAACCUGCCUCAUACAGGGGGAUAACAGUUGGAAACGACUGUUAAUACCGCAUAAGACCACAGCACCGCAUGGUGCGGGGGUAAAAACUCCGGUGGUAUGAGAUGGACCCGCGUUCGAUUAGCCAGUUGGCGGGGUAACGGCCCACCAAAGCGACGAUCGAUAGCCGAUCUGAGAGGAUGACCGGCCACAUUGGGACUGAGACACGGCCCAAACUCCUACGGGAGGCAGCAGUGGGGAAUAUUGCACAAUGGGGGAAACCCUGAUGCAGCGACGCCGCGUGAGUGAUGAAGUACUUCGGUAUGUAAAGCUCUAUCAGCAGGGAAGAAAAUGACGGUACCUGAGUAAGAAGCCCCGGCUAACUACGUG
rnacentral:rRNA from 1 species